GGGUUCUACCGUUGGUCGGGCUAUAGUCUGUACUGGCGCGUGGAAUUUCUACCUUCUGGGGAACUAUCAUGUUAUUAAUUUAGCGUGGUAGGAAACCAGAACCUUUACCUUGAAAAAAUUAGAGUGUUCAAAGCAGGCAUUUCGCUUGAAUACAUUAGCAUGGAAUAAUGGAAUAGGACU
rnacentral:rRNA from 1 species